AUGAAAUUAAGGAUGCUGCCUCUGCUUCUCAAGCAGCGGCUGAGUUUGCAGAACAUGCUAGCCUAGCUGCCAGGGCUACUGGAGAACUUUCAAGGCAAUAUUGUGUUGAUGAUGGUGGUUCAUGCCACUUAGGUUUCAAGAAUGAAUGGUUGUAACAUGGACAAUCAUUUCCUGGAGAUGGUAAUGGUAAUUUUUCUGUUGGCAGGCAGAAAAUGAACAUGAAAUUUAAGGAUGCUACCGCUGCUGCUCAAGCAGCGGCUGAGUUUGCAGAACAUGCAAGCCUAGCUGCUAGAGCUGUUGUAGAACAUUCAAGGUUAUAUUUGGUUGAUGAUGGUGGUUCAUGCCUCUUAGGUUUCAAGGAUAAAAGGUUAGAACACGGGCAAUCAUUUCCUGGAGAUGGUAAAUUAUCUGUUGGCAGGCAGAAUUGGAACAUGAAAUUAAGGAUGUUGCCU
rnacentral:lncRNA from 1 species